GACGAACGCUGGCGGCGUGCUUAACACAUGCAAGUCGAACGAUGAAGCCGGAGCUUGCUCUGGUGAAUUAGUGGCGAACGGGUGAGUAACACGUGAGUAACCUGCCCUUGACUCUGGGAUAACUGCGGGAAACUGUAGCUAAUACCGGAUACGACCCUCGGAGGCAUCUCCUGGGGGUGGAAAGAAUUUCGGUCAAGGAUGGACUCGCGGCCUAUCAGCUAGUUGGUGAGGUAAAGGCUCACCAAGGCGACCACGGGUAGCCGGCCUGAGAGGGUGACCGGCCACACUGGGACGGAGACACGGCCCAGACUCCUACGGGAGGCAGCAGUGGGGAAUAUUGCACAAUGGGCGCAAGCCUGAUGCAGCAACGCCGCGGGAGGGAUGACGGCCUUCGGGUUGUAAACCUCUUUUAGCAGGGAAGAAGCGAAAGUGACGGUACCUGCAGAAAAAGCACCGGCUAACUACGUGCCAGCAGCCGCGGUAA
rnacentral:rRNA from 1 species